rnacentral:rRNA from 1 species
UGCAAGUCGAGCGGUAAGGCCCUUCGGGGUACACGAGCGGCGAACGGGUGAGUAACACGUGAGCAACCUGCCCCUGACUCUGGGAUAAGCGGUGGAAACGCCGUCUAAUACCGGAUACGACCCGCCACCUCAUGGUGGAGGGUGGAAAGUUUUUCGGGCAGGUAUGGGCUCGCGGCCUAUCAGCUUGUUGGUGGGGUAACGGCCUACCAAGGCGAUUACGGGUAGCCGGCCUGAGAGGGCGACCGGCCACACUGGGACUGAGACACGGCCCAGACUCCUGCGGCGUAGGCUAGCACGCAUGGGGAAUAGUCUGUCUCGAGCACAUGGGCGAAAGCCUGACGCAGCGAGCAGCACGCGUGGGGGAUGACGGCCUUCGGGUUGUAAACCUCUUUUACCACCAACGCAGGCUUCCAGUUCUCUGGAGGUUGACGGUAGGUGGGGAAUAAGGACCGGCUAACUACGUGCCAGCAGCCGCGGUAAUACGUAGGGUCCGAGCGUUGUCCGGAAUUAUUGGGCGUAAAGAGCUCGUAAGCGGCGUGUCGCGUCUGCUGUGAAAGACCGGCUCUUAACUCCGGUUCUGCAGUGGAUACGGGCAUGCUAGAGGUAGGUAGGGGAGACUGGAAUUCCUGGUGUAGCGGUGAAAUGCUCACAUGUCAAGAGGAACACCGGUGGCAAAUGCGGGUCUCUGGCCCUUACCUGACGCUCAUGAUCGAAAGCAUGUGAAGCUAACAGGAUUAGAUACCCUGGUAGUCCAUGCCUGUAAACGUUGGGCGCUAGGUGUGGGGACUUUCCACGGUUUCCGCGCCGUAGCUAACGUCAUUAAGCGCCCCGCCUGGGGAGUACGGCCGCAAGGCUAAAACUCAAAGGAAUUGACGGGUGGCCCGUCACAAGCGAGCGGAGCAUGUUGCGUUAAUUUGACGCAACGCGAAGAACCAUUACCAAGGUUUGACAUCACCCGUGGACUCGCAGAGAUGUGAGGUCAUUUAGUUGGCGGGUGACAGGUGGUGCAUGGCUGUCGUCAGCUCGUGUCGUGAGAUGUUGGGUUAAGUCCCGCAACGAGCGCAACCCUUGUUCCAUGUUGCCAGCACGUAAUGGUGGGGACUCAUGGGCAGACUGCCGGGGCACAUCAGAGCAUCGGAGGAAGGUGGGGAUGACGAUCAAGUCUAUCAGUCGCUGCACGCUUAUGUCUCUGGGCCUGCAAACAUGCUACAAUGGCCGGUACAAUGGGCGUGCGAUACCGUAAGGUGGAGCGAAUCCCUAAAAGCCGGUCUCAGUUCGGAUUGGGGUCUGCAACUCGACCCCAUGAAGGUGGAGUCGCUAGUAAUCGCGGAUCAGCAACGCCGCGGUGAAUACGUUCCCGGGCCUUGUACACACCGCCCGUCACGUCAUGAAAGUCGGCAACACCCGAAACUUGCGGCCUAACCCCUUGUGGGAGGGAG